rnacentral:rRNA from 1 species
AGCGGAAAGGCCACUUCGGUGGUACUCGAGCGGCGAACGGGUGAGUAACACGUGAGUAAUCUGCCCCUGGCUUCGGGAUAGCCACCGGAAACGGUGAUUAAUACCGGAUAUGACAUGGACUCGCAUGGGUUUGUGUGGAAAGUUUUUCGGCCAGGGAUGUGCUCGCGGCCUAUCAGCUUGAUGGUGAGGUAAUGGCUCACCAUGGCUUCGACGGGUAGCCGGCCUGAGAGGGUGACCGGCCACACUGGGACUGAGACACGGCCCAGACUCCUACGGGAGGCAGCAGUGGGGAAUAUUGGACAAUGGGCGGAAGCCUGAUCCAGCAACGCCGCGUGAGGGAUGACGGCCUUCGGGUUGUAAACCUCUUUCAGUACCGACGAAGCGCAAGUGACGGUAGGUACAGAAGAAGCACCGGCCAACUACGUGCCAGCAGCCGCGGUAAUACGUAGGGUGCGAGCGUUGUCCGGAAUUAUUGGGCGUAAAGGGCUCGUAGGCGGUUUGUCGCGUCGGGAGUGAAAACGCCGUGCUUAACACGGCGCUUGCUUUCGAUACGGGCAGACUAGAGGUAUUCAGGGGAGAACGGAAUUCCUGGUGUAGCGGUGAAAUGCGCAGAUAUCAGGAGGAACACCGGUGGCGAAGGCGGUUCUCUGGGAAUGACCUGACGCUGAGGAGCGAAAGUGUGGGGAGCGAACAGGAUUAGAUACCCUGGUAGUCCACACCGUAAACGUUGGGCGCUAGGUGUGGGGUCCAUUCCACGGAUUCCGUGCCGCAGCUAACGCAUUAAGCGCCCCGCCUGGGGA